rnacentral:rRNA from 1 species
GACGAACGCUGGCGGCGUGCCUAAUACAUGCAAGUCGAACGAACCGCGACUAGGUGCUUGCACUUGGUCAAGGUGAGUGGCGAACGGGUGAGUAACACGUGGGUAACCUACCUCAUAGUGGGGGAUAACAGUCGGAAACGACUGCUAAUACCGCAUAGGACAUAGGAUCACAUGAUCCAGUGAGGAAAGGUGGCGCAAGCUAUCGCUAAGAGAUGGACCCGCGGUGCAUUAGCUAGUUGGUAGGGUAAAGGCCUACCAAGGCGAUGAUGCAUAGCCGACCUGAGAGGGUGAUCGGCCACAUUGGGACUGAGACACGGCCCAAACUCCUACGGGAGGCAGCAGUAGGGAAUCUUCCGCAAUGGACGCAAGUAUGACGGAGCAACGCCGCGUGAGUGAAGAAGGUCUUCGGAUCGUAAAGCUCUGUUGUUAGAGAAGAACAGCGCAUAGAGUAACUGUUAUGCGUGUGACGGUAUCUAAACAGAAAGCCACGGCUAACUCCGUG